GUGAAUCAUCAAAUUUUUGAACGCAAAUUGCACUCUCCUCGGAGAGUAUGCCUGUUUGAGUGUCAGCCUAUAAAAAUCUACAUCGUUGCUGUUUCGCGGUGGCGUUCGUCGGAAAUUGUGUCAUCUUAAAUCCUUUUGAUUUAAGCGACUUAAAAUUUUCUUUUUGAUUCCGUGAACGUUUUUCUAAGAUUUAUUUCUUUACACGUUUAAUGUAUCGAUUUUUAUUAGACUUGACCAUCAUAUCGGAUCUCGUCCAUAAUCUUUCAUUAACUCACCUCAGACACUUAACAGUACCCGCUGA
rnacentral:misc_RNA from 1 species